rnacentral:rRNA from 1 species
GAUGAACGCUGGCGGCGUGCCUAAUACAUGCAAGUCGAGCGAACAGACGAGGAGCUUGCGCGGCUGACGUUAGCGGCGGACGGGUGAGUAACACGUGUAUAACCUACCUAUAAUACUGGGAUAACUUCGGGAAACCGGAGCUAAUAGCGGAUAAUAUAUUGAACCGCAUGGUGCAAUAGUAAAAGUCGGUGUUGGUGGCACUAAUAGAUGGAUCCGCGCUGUAUUGGCUAGUUGGUAGGGUAACGGCUUACCAAGGCAACGAUGCGUAACCGACGUGAGAGGGGGGUCGGCGACACGGGAGCUGAGACGCGCACCAUGCUCCUGCGGGAGGCCGCAGUAGCGUACGGUACGCAGUAGGGGGAAGCCUGGCGGAGCGGCGCCGCGUGAGUGACAGCGGCCUUGGGAUCGGAAAGCUCGGUUAUGAGUUAUAAACCAAUUUGGCAGUAACUGUGCACGUCUUGACGGUAAUUAGUCAGAAAGCCACGGCUAACUACGUG